AUGGAAUCAUCGUUAUCGAUAUGGGAAUACAGCGUAAUCCUCUUCAUGCGUCCCUUCCUCGCCAUAGCUUUCGUUCUUUCCUUAAUCACUCUAGGUUGGUUUUUGGCUUGGAAACUGGUGCUGGUUCAUGUUCCCUUGGUUCAAGAAAUUUUUGGCCUAAAAAAGAAACCGCUACGAUCUAAGCCCCAAACAGGUCGUCUUUCCAAAAUUUACAGCACCAUUAAUGCCCCAAUUUCACCUCCCACUUAG